rnacentral:piRNA from 1 species
UGUGCAUCUUGUCGCCACAGGCCUG